rnacentral:rRNA from 1 species
GUCGAGCGGGCUACGGUCUUCGGACUGUAGCUUAGCGGCGAACGGGUGAGUAACACGUAGGUAAUCUACCCUUCAGAGGAGGACAACCUCAGGAAACUGAGGCUAAACCUUCAUACGUUCACUGGUAGGGAUACUGGUGAAGAAAGAGUUACCUUAGUGGUAGCUGCUGAAGGAUGAGCCUGCGGCCCAUCAGGUAGUUGGUGAGGUAACGGCUCACCAAGCCGAAGACGGGUAACCGGUCUGAGAGGAUGUCCGGUCACACUGGGACUGAGACACGGCCCAGACUCCUACGGGAGGCAGCAGCAGGGAAUCUUGGGCAAUGGGCGAAAGCCUGACCCAGCGACGCCGCGUGGAGGAAGAAGUCCUUCGGGGCGUAAACUCCUGGACUGGGGGACGAGGAAGGACGGUACCCCAGUAGAAAGGGACGGCUAACUACGUGCCAGCAGCCGCGGUAAAACGUAGGUCCCGAGCGUUGUUCGGAUUCACUGGGUGUAAAGGGCGCGUAGGUGGUUGUCUGUGUCUCAUGUGAAAACUCAGGGCUCAACUCUGAGAUUGCGUGGGAAACUAGGCAGCUAGAGGACGGUAGAGGGGAGUGGAAUUCCCGGUGUAGCGGUAAAAUGCGUAGAUAUCGGGAGGAACACCGGUGGCGAA